rnacentral:tRNA from 1 species
GGUCUUAUAUUUUAUAAAAAAUAUUAAAUUGCAAGUUUAAAGAAUUAGUUAAGAC